rnacentral:rRNA from 1 species
AUGAACCAACUGGUCCUACUCCUAAGCAUGCUGUUAAGAGUAGCUGAGUAUAUCAUUGUAAGACAGGAACUGCCUAACCAAACAGAAGCCACUAAUAGAAAGAGACAGGCUGAUUUACAUAUUGUUUCAUACAUUGUGUACAUCCAUGUCAUAUCACAGAGUUCACCUCCACAUCACCCAAAGAAAAAAUAUGUAAACAGUUGCUGCAAAGUUUUGCAUGCUGAUGGUUCUCUGCAAGCAAACGCUUGCCGGCAAGAUAAGCAACAAACAGUUUUAUCAAGUCAACAUGUACACCCAAGCAUGCACAACUUGACAAUCCUGGACACAUCAUUCAACUGUUUCGACCGAUCAAAUCGACUGCAUUUGUUUGUCCCUGUAUGCAGCCGGUCUAUCCUACUCUCUGUUUGGUAA